AUACAGAUUUUUAAAGUCUGUUUUCAAAAAUGUGAGUGAGCGCACAUGAUGGGUUCAACAAAAGACAUAUCCAGGGUGCAGUGACUAUAAGCAACAGUCUCCGUGGUAGUAUUUUCAUCCUGUUGCUCCUGUGGGCUACCUUAAGGGAACUUGAAGACAACU
rnacentral:snoRNA from 1 species